rnacentral:sRNA from 1 species
ACAAAACAGGCAGGAAGAUUAAAUUCUUGUCGACGUCGCGGAAAAAGUCUUGGGAGGAUCAGAUCUUAGGCGCGGUCAUACGCUGCCACCGGUAACGGUUACGGGUCACGCGAUUGCUUAGAAAACAAGGCUUCUGGCCUUGUUUUUUUUU